rnacentral:rRNA from 1 species
CCUACGGGAGGCAGCAGUAGGGAAUAUUGCUCAAUGGGGGAAACCCUGAAGCAGCAACGCCGCGUGGAGGAUGAAGGUUUUCGGAUUGUAAACUCCUUUUGUUAGAGAAGAUAAUGACGGUAUCUAACGAAUAAGCACCGGCUAACUCCGUGCCAGCAGCCGCGGUAAUACGGAGGGUGCAAGCGUUACUCGGAAUCACUGGGCGUAAAGAGCGCGUAGGCGGGAUAGCAAGUCAGAUGUGAAAUCCUAGGGCUUAACCAUAGAACUGCAUUUGAAACUGUUAUUCUAGAGUAUGGGAGAGGUAGGUGGAAUUCUUGGUGUAGGGGUAAAAUCCGUAGAGAUCAAGAGGAAUACUCAUUGCGAAGGCGACCUGCUAGAACAUAACUGACGCUGAGGCGCGAAAGCGUGGGGAGCAAACAGGAUUAGAUACCCCUGUAGUC